GAUGAACGCUGGCGGCGUGCCUAAUACAUGCCAGUCGAGCGAGCGGACGAGAAGCUUGCUUUUCUGAUGUUAGCGGCGGACGGGUGAGUAACACGUGGAUAACCUACCUAUAAGACUGGGAUAACUUCGGGAAACCGGAGCUAAUACCGGAUAAUAUUUUGAACCGCAUGGUUCAAAAGUGAAAGACGGUCUUGCUGUCACUUAUAGAUGGAUCCGCGCUGCAUUAGCUAGUUGGUAAGGUAACGGCUUACCAAGGCAACGAUGCAUAGCCGACCUGAGAGGCUGAUCGGCCACACUGGAACUGAGACACGGUCCAGACUCCUACGGGAGGCAGCAGUAGGGAAUCUUCCGCAAUGGGCGAAAGCCUGACGGAGCAACGCCGCGUGAGUGAUGAAGGUCUUCGGAUCGUAAAACUCUGUUAUUAGGGAAGAACAUAUGUGUAAGUAACUGUGCACAUCUUGACGGUACCUAAUCAGAAAGCCACGGCUAACUACGUG
rnacentral:rRNA from 1 species